AUUGAACGCUGGCGGCAGGCUUAACACAUGCAAGUCGAGCGGGGGAAGGUAGCUUGCUACCGGACCUAGCGGCGGACGGGUGAGUAAUGCUUAGGAAUCUGCCUAUUAGUGGGGGACAACAUCUCGAAAGGGAUGCUAAUACCGCAUACGUCCUACGGGAGAAAGCAGGGGAUCUUCGGACCUUGCGCUAAUAGAUGAGCCUAAGUCGGAUUAGCUAGUUGGUGGGGUAAAGGCCUACCAAGGCGACGAUCUGUAGCGGGUCUGAGAGGAUGAUCCGCCACACUGGGACGGAGACACGGCCCAGACUCCUACGGGAGGAAGCAGUGGGGAAUAUUGGACAAUGGGGGGAACCCUGAUCCAGCCAUGCCGCGUGUGUGAAGAAGGCCCUAAGGUUGUAAAGCACUUUAAGCGAGGAGGAGGCUACUCUAGUUAAUACCUAGGGAUAGUGGACGUUACUCGCAGAAUAAGCACCGGCUAACUCUGUGCCAGCCGCCGCCGUAA
rnacentral:rRNA from 1 species